GAUCCUGGCUCAGGAUGAACGCUAGCUACAGGCUUAACACAUGCAAGUCGAGGGGCAGCAUUUUAGUUUGCUUGCAAACUGAAGAUGGCGACCGGCGCACGGGCGAGUAACACGUAUCCAACCUGCCGAUAACUCCGGGAUAGCCUUUACGAAAGAAAGAUUAAUACCGGGUAGUAUACGAAUAUCGCAUGAUAUUUUAUUAAAGAUUUCGGUUAUCGAUGGGGAUGCGUUCCAUUAGUUGUUGCGGGG
rnacentral:rRNA from 1 species